rnacentral:rRNA from 1 species
UACGGAGGAUCCAAGCGUUAUCCGGAAUCAUUGGGUUUAAAGGGUCCGUAGGCGGUUUUGUAAGUCAGUGGUGAAAGCCCAUCGCUCAACGGUGGAACGGCCAUUGAUACUGCAAGACUUGAAUUAUUAGGAAGUAACUAGAAUAUGUAGUGUAGGGGUGAAAUGCUUAGAGAUUACUGGAAUACCAAUUGCGAAGGCAGGUUACUACUAAUGGAUUGACGCUGAUGGACGAAGCUGGGGGA